UACGGGGGGGGCCAGCGUUGUUCGGAAUUAUUGGGCGUAAAGGGCGCGUAGGCGGCGUGGUAAGUCAGUUGUGAAAUCCCUCGGCUCAACCGAGGAAUUGCGUCUGAGACUGCCAUGCUUGAGUCCCGGAGAGGGUAGCGGAAUUCCCAGUGUAGCGGUGAAAUGCGUAGAUAUUGGGAGGAACACCAGUGGCGAAGGCGGCUACCUGGACGGGCACUGACGCUGAGGCGCGAAAGCGUGGGGAGCAAACAGG
rnacentral:rRNA from 1 species